UACGUAGGGGCCAAGCGUUGUUCGGAUUUACUGGGCGUAAAGGGCGCGUAGGCGGCGUGGUAAGUCACUUGUGAAAUCUUGCAGCUUAACUGUAAAAUUGCCAUUGAUACUGACGAUCUUGAGUACACUUGAAGUGGGCGGAAUAUGUCAUGUAGAGGUGAAAUUCUUAGAGAUGACAUAGAACACCGAUUGCGAAGGCAGCUCACUAAAUUGUAACUGACGCUGAGGCACGAAAGCGUGGGGAUCAAACAGG
rnacentral:rRNA from 1 species